AAACCUUAAUAAUUUUAACAACAAAAUUAUUCGCCAGAACACUACAAGCAACAGCUUGAAACUCAAAGGACCUGGCGGUGCUUUACAUCCGUCUAGAGGAGCCUGUUCUGUAAUCGAUAAACCCCGAUAUACCUUACCACCUCUUGCCCCCAGCCUGUAUACCGCCAUCUUCAGCAAACA
rnacentral:rRNA from 1 species